CCUACGGUUUAUAACCCCUGAGUCUGGGGGUAAUGGCACGGGGACCCACCAGCUUGUCUGCGGCCAUCUGGGGUACAGUGCUGGAAGCGGGGAUACAGGGACAAAUAAGACACAUAUCCUGUCCCUAAAGAGGCUGGAGUGCAAUGGCACGAUCUCAGCUCACUGCAACCUCUGCCUCCCGGGUUCAAGCAAUUCUCCUGUCUCAGCCUCCUGAGUAGCUGGAUUACAGAGUCUUUUCGAAGGCACCAACUAUUUCCUUCAAGCAGCAGCCAGAGAUCUUUGCUCAAUAACUGAGAAACACAGAGGAGAGACCCAGAGAGGAGGAGAAGACCGCAUGAAGAUGGAGCAGAGACUGGAGUUAUUCAGCCAAGUCAAGGAAUGCCUGGAGCCACCAGAAGCCGGAAGAGGCAAGGAAGGAUCCUCCCUUAGAGCAUUUGGAAGAGUGUGGCCCUGCCAACACCUUGAUUUCAAACUUCUGGCCUCCAUAACUAUGAAAUAAAUUCUUGUUGUUUUAAGCCACCAAGUUUGUGGCAACUUCUUACAGCAGCCCUAGGAGACUAACACACAGAGUGUGAGUUACCUAAACAUUGUGAGCCUCAGUUACCUUAUCUGAAAAUGGGGCUAAAACUUAGACCUACCUUUUAGGGCUGCUUUAAGGAGUAAUAGAAAUUAUACAUAGGAAUUACAUGGCACCAAGUUGUUCCUUAAUAGAGGGAAACUGUUAUGAUGGUGGAAGAGCAGUAAUGAAAUACUGAAUUCAUCCAGCAGAUGGCAGAAGAUGGAUUUGCAAACAAGAGGACUUCAUAAGGUUUGCUGCCCAGCAAUGCAGCUCCAGGCCUAAAGUAGCCUUCCUAGCUCACAAACUGAUGAGGAUUUACCCUCGCCAACUCAAGCGUGCUCUCAGCUCUGUAGAAACUAAACUAAUUCUAUUUUCCUUUGACCAUUGUACACCACAGAGGCUGGCAAUGGAGAAUAUAAAGAGUGGUGCAACAGAAAAUACCCGGGUUCUAGGCUCAGCUCUGUCACCUCAUUAGGAUUCAGUUUGCCCAUCUGUAAAGUAGUGACAA